CCAUGUUCUGCCAGUGAAUCCUGUUGCUCUAGGUCUUCUGCUCAUAUGCUCUAUUAAUAUCUGUCAUUGUUUGGAGCAAAGCCAAGUGACAAGAAGGAAGCGUUUAUUAGUAUCAACAUGUAACCCUAUGUAG
rnacentral:lncRNA from 1 species